GUGGUGUAAGUGUUGGUAUUGACACCUGCACAACUUCCUCAUCUUCUACAUACCACUAACACACAUUAAUACCAGACCAACACCCACAAAGCAGCAGAACAACAACGCUCUGAGGAACACGACACAGACUUCGGCCGCAGCUCGUCCACAGAGGACGUGUGUCACGAAGAGUCCCACAACCUGUAGAUGUGAAGACCUGUGGUGUGUGUGUGUGGUCAGUGAUCGUCCGACUGCUGUCCCUGUUUUGGACGUCCUAGCAGGCUCUUCCUGGUUUCUGGCACCAUGAAGGGUUUCUGGGACGGGAUAAAGACUGUUUGGGAUUUGGGGUCUUACAUCUACGACUUCAUCCAAAAGAAGGAAUCAGAAAAGCAGAUUCGGGAAAUGCAGAACCUCAUGAAGACUCAGGAGGACACCAUCUUCCUCCAGCAGUGUGUGAUUGGCCUGAUGACUAUAGUACUGGGGGUGGUGGUGGUGGGGGUGGUGAUGUGGAUGUGGACGAGAAUAAACUAACUGGAAACACAAGUCGCUUCACUAAAUACAAA